rnacentral:pre_miRNA from 13 species
GAAGAUGGUUUGACGAUGCUGCUGAUGCUGGCGGUGACGCCGAUGGUGCGAGCUGGACAUGGGGUGCUACGUCAUCGUUGUCAUCGUCAUCAUCAUCAUCAGAGCAGCCACUGGACAGC